UCUUAUUGAUGAAAACUUGUCCAGUUCUGCUACUGACUUCGAAGUGAGGAUACUGUGGAGAUGAGA